rnacentral:SRP_RNA from 1 species
GCUGGUGCAGGCCUGUAGUCCCAGCUACUCCGGAGGCUGAGGUGUGAGGAUCACUUGAGCCCAGGAGUUCUGGGCUGUAGUGUACUAUGCCGAUCAGGUGUCUGCACUAAGUUCAGCAUCAAUAUGGUGACCUCCCAGGAGCGGGGGACCACCAGGUUGCCUAAGGAGGGGUGAACUGACCCAGGUCAGAAAAGGAGCAGGUCAAAACUCCUGUGCUGAUCAGUAGUGGGAUUGUGCCUGUGAAUAGCCACUGCACUCCAACCAAGGCAACAUAGUGAGAUCCUGUCUCU